rnacentral:rRNA from 1 species
CCCUCUUUUAGAGGGAGUGGCGCACGGGUGCGUAACGCGUGGGAACCUGCCCUUAGGUUCGGAAUAACUCAGAGAAAUUUGAGCUAAUACCGGAUAAUGUCUUCGGACCAAAGAUUUAUCGCCUUUGGAUGGGCCCGCGUAGGAUUAGAUAGUUGGUGGGGUAAUGGCCUACCAAGUCGACGAUCCUUAGCUGGUCUGAGAGGAUGAUCAGCCACACUGGGACUGAGACACGGCCCAGACUCCUACGGGAGGCAGCAGUGGGGAAUAUUGGACAAUGGGCGAAAGCCUGAUCCAGCAAUGCCGCGUGAGUGAUGAAGGCCUUAGGGUUGUAAAGCUCUUUUACCAGGGAUGAUAAUGACAGUACCUGGAGAAUAAGCUCCGGCUAACUCCGUGCCAGCAGCCGCGGUAAUACGGAGGGAGCUAGCGUUGUUCGGAAUUACUGGGCGUAAAGCGCACGUAGGCGGCUUUUCAGGUCGGGGGUGAAAUCCCGGGGCUCAACCCCGGAACUGCCCUUGAAACUGGAUGGCUAGAAUACUGGAG